UACGUAGGGGGCAAGCGUUGUCCGGAAUCAUUGGGCGUAAAGGGCUCGUAGGCGGUCCAUCGCGUCGGGAGUGAAAAGCUGGGGCUUAACCCCAGUCCUGCUUCCGAUACGGGUGGACUAGAGGUAGGUAGGGGAGAACGGAAUUCCUGGUGUAGCGGUGAAAUGCGCAGAGUAUCAGGAGGAACACCGGUGGCGAAGGCGGUUCGUCUGGGCCUUACCUGACGCUGAGGAGCGAAAGCAUGGGGAGCGAACAGG
rnacentral:rRNA from 1 species